rnacentral:snRNA from 1 species
AGGGCCAUUUUUGGUAAGCAG